GUAGUGAAAUUGUACAGUGUAAAAUGUAGUGCCGUGGCCAUUUCAAGUGUGCAAUUUGGGAGAGUUUAGUACGUUCACACUGUCUUGCAACCAAUCUCCAGAACUUUCUUUAUCCAGCAAAAUCAAACACUGUUGCCCCUAAACAGCACACCUCCACAUUUCUCCCAAUGCUAAUUCUACUUCCUGUGGCCAUCAGUGGACUGUCCCAGAUUCCUUAUACAAAUGGAACCAUAUAGCAUUUGCCUUUUUGUAGGUGACUUAAUGUGCCUAACAACCAUCCACGAGAAGCAUAGAUUGUAAAGGUUUUUCUUCUUUUUUCAAAGGCUAAAUAAUGUUCAUCCAGUCCUCAUUGGUCUUUUGGUUUGUCCUGCAUCGUGACAAUUGUAAGGAAUGUCUCUGUGAGCACAGGGACAGGAAAAGACCAAGCCCUGUGGUUUGAGGAUGAGUAAACCCAUGGUAAUAUGAGCAAAACAAGCUAGUAUAUAUUCCACAACGGAAGACAGCAAUUACGGCUGCAGAAGGGAUCAUGUCUGGAAAGAGAUGCAAAAAACGGCAAGGAAAACAACACACACAGGGUCUGGCAUGAUGGUUUGUGACUGUCUCCCCAGGAGUUUGGAUGCUAAGGCCGGAGAAUCACCCCCAAGUUGAAGGCUAGCCUUGGCUACAUGGUGAGUUCCAGGAAAAUCUGGGCUACAGAAUGAGACCCUAUCUCAACUCCCUAAGCAAUUACACAUGUGAUGUCCUUGCAUGUAUACUGAAUAUUGCAAUAGAGUGCUCAGUGGAGCAUAGCACUCAUUUGUUUGUUUAAUUCAUAUUUACCGCUGACUCUAGUGAAAAGUGCACAAUUCCAGACAGUUAUCAAAAGAAAUAAGAAGUCAGAGGUUUCUAUUCUCAUUUGUAGCUUAGUAUAUGGAUACACAAAACAUAAACACCUCACAGUAAAAGGUAAUUUAUUCUAUUUUGUUUUUUUUUUUUAAUGUAUGGGGAGCACUGUGGAUGUAGAAACCAGAGAGCGAUAAUGGGUGAAUUCUUCAAUGGCUCUUCCCUUUGUAUAUUGAGGCAGAG